ACACACACACACACACAUGCAUGCACACUUGCCAGCGCCAGACCUCAUGGGGAACACUAAGGUUGCUGCUGGAAGUGGUAUUAGUGAGGCCAGCAGGGGGCGCUCACCCUGUGGUCUGUGUGGGGUUUAAUGCCCUGGUAUAGUGACGGGGACACUAUACUGUAAAAACAGCACCAUCUUUCAGAUGAGACAUUAAACCGAGGUCCUGACUAUCUUUGGUCAUUAAAAAUCUCAGGACACUUAUGGUACAGAGUAGGGGUAUAACCCCGGUGUCCUGCCCAAAUUCCCCCAUUGGCCCUUCUCUAUCCUGACCCCCUUUUAAUCUUUGAACUGGCUACAUCACUCUCUCCUCUCCACUAAUAGCUGGUGUGUGGUGGGGGUUCUGGAGCACUAUGGCUGCCAUCAUAUCAUCCAGGUGGAGGAUGCACACUACUGGUGGUUGAUAAGAUCCCCUCCAUACUAUGUAAAGAGCUUUGAGUGUCUAGAAAAGCUCUAUAUAAAUAUAACUGUAACUGUAACUCUAACGCACAAUACACACCCUCACACACAUCCACAAACACAAUACACACUCACACAAACACAGUACUCAUCCACAGAAACAACUACUGUGUGUGUGAGAGAGUGUGUGUUUCAGGGUGUGUAUAGUGUGUGUAGGUGUGUUUCAGGGUGUGUAUAGUGUGUGUGGGUGUGAGAGUGUGUGUUUCAGGGUGUGUAUAGUGUGUGUAGGUGUGAGAGUGUGUGUUUCAGGGUGUGUAUAGUGUGUGUAGGUGUGUUUCAGGGUGUGUAUAGUGUGUGUGGGUGUGAGAGUGUGUGUUUCAGGGUGUGUAUAGUGUGUGUAGGUGUGUUUCAGGGUGUGUAUAGUGUGUGUAGGUGUGAGAGUGUGUGUUUCAGGGUGUGUAUAGUGUGUGUAGG